GGUUCUCUGAUCCUUGUAUGGGGUAUUCUGGAUAUGGUGAAGUAUGCAUGGAGAUUGUGAGUGAUCAAUAAGGGAUCAGUCAUUCCUAAUAAAGGGAGUGAACAUCCUAUAUGAUCUCAUAGGUCGAUGAUUCUGAAAGUCUUUGGCAAAAACAGGAUGAUAAUUAGAAAGGAAUUUCUAAUAUAUCAUCAACUGAAUCAUCACCUUUUGAUCAAGAUAUAUAUAGAUAAGCAAUUGGAUUUGACAUAUUUCCAUAGUCACAGCUGAUCUGAGAUGUUGUUUGACUGG
rnacentral:lncRNA from 1 species